UCCCGUGGACAUUGGUUUAACGAUGGAUGUUCCCUGGGUUAAACCUACAACCAUUCUCCUUAGGUGUGUGACACUCUUCCCAAAUCAUCUCCAUUGAUGCACCGCAGGCACCACCCUUUUAGAAUCAUUCAUUGUCUCCUUGGGGCAUCUCUUUUGACCACCCUAGGCUAUGUUUCACCUUAAUCACCAACUACUGCUCCUCUUAUAUAGUCAAAAG
rnacentral:lncRNA from 1 species